UACGGGGGAUGCAAGUGUUAUCCGGAAUAAUUGGGCGUAAAGCGUCUGUAGGUGGUUGACCAAGUCUGUUGUUAAAAAUCAGGGCUCAACCCUGAUCCGGCAACAGAAACUAGUAAACUUGAGUACGGUAGGGGCAGAGGGAAUUCUCGGUGUAGUGGUGAAAUACGUAGAUAUCGAGAAGAACACCAAUAGCGAAAGCACUCUGCCUGGGCCGAAAACUGACAUUGAGAGACGAAAGCUAGGGGAGCAAA
rnacentral:rRNA from 1 species